rnacentral:rRNA from 1 species
AACGAACGCUGGCGGCAUGCCUAACACAUGCAAGUCGAACGCCCCGCAAGGGGAGUGGCGCACGGGUGAGUAACGCGUGGGAACCUGCCCCGAGGUGGGGGAUAACCCGGCGAAAGCCGGGCUAAUACCGCAUGAGCCGGUGGAGCGAUCCAUCGGGAAAGAUUUAUCGCCUUGAGAGGGGCCCGCGUCCGAUUAGCUAGUUGGUGAGGUAACGGCUCACCAAGGCGACGAUCGGUAGCUGGUCUGAGAGGAUGAUCAGCCACACUGGGACUGAGACACGGCCCAGACUCCUACGGGAGGCAGCAGUGGGGAAUAUUGGACAAUGGGCGCAAGCCUGAUCCAGCAAUGCCGCGUGAGUGAUGAAGGCCUUAGGGUUGUAAAGCUCUUUCGGCGGGGACGAUGAUGACGGUACCCGCAGAAGAAGCCCCGGCUAACUUCGUGCCAGCCGCCGCGGUAA